rnacentral:SRP_RNA from 2 species
GCUGGGCGUGGUGGCUCACGCCUGUAAUCCCAGCACUUUGGGAGGCUGAGGCGGGUGGAUCACCUGAGGUCAGGAGUUUCAGACCAGCCUGGCCAACAUGGUGAAACCCUGUCUCUA